GUCACCUCCUGCAGUCUUAAAUGGGAACGGAGACAAAAGCCCUCUGACUCACACUUCCCCACAAUGGUCAGCUUUCUGUGUCAACUUGGCUGAGUUACAGUCCCUGGUUAUUCAACCAAACACUCCCGUGGGUGCUUCCGUGAAGGUAAAAGAGCCUGCAUCUGUGGCCGAUAACCCUUUCUUUCCCAGUGGAUUGUGUCCCACCCAGCCAUUCCUGUUAGGCUGUGGGCUUUCUGGGGUCCCCAGAGAAAACGCGUCCCCAGGAUGCUGAACGGGCCGAGGGCAUGGCUUGGGGAGCUGUGAUAAUCAGGUGAAGAAUCGGGUGGCGUGCUGCACAGAAAGGAGGAAUCUCACUUCAAGGCAUUUCUGGGACAGUUAAUCCCCACAGCCAGCGGGAGACCUCCGGGCCUCGGGCCUCAGCUCUGGGAACCACCCUCCCCACGGGCACAGCCUCAUCCGCAGGCCCCCUCAGCUCGCUGGGCCGCUUCGUGGACCCUCUGCGGCGCCGGCCUCAAAACCCACUUGCAGCUGCCCCCAGAUGCAAACGCCGCACCGCCCUGGCGCAGUGGCAAGGAGGAAGCUGGAUUUUCUUCCCGUGAUUUUGUGGGUCUUCG
rnacentral:lncRNA from 1 species